UCGAGGGGCAGCAUGGUCUUAGCUUGCUAAGGCCGAUGGCGACCGGCGCACGGGUGAGUAACACGUAUCCAACCUGCCGUCUACUCUUGGACAGCCUUCUGAAAGGAAGAUUAAUACAAGAUGGCAUCAUGAGUCCGCAUGUUCACAUGAUUAAAGGUAUUCCGGUAGACGAUGGGGAUGCGUUCCAUUAGAUAGUAGGCGGGGUAACGGCCCACCUAGUCUUCGAUGGAUAGGGGUUCUGAGAGGAAGGUCCCCCACAUUGGAACUGAGACACGGUCCAAACUCCUACGGGAGGCAGCAGUGAGGAAUAUUGGUCAAUGGGCGAGAGCCUGAACCAGCCAAGUAGCGUGAAGGAUGACUGCCCUAUGGGUUGUAAACUUCUUUUAUAAAGGAAUAAAGUCGGGUAUGGAUACCCGUUUGCAUGUACUUUAUGAAUAAGGAUCGGCUAACUCCGUGCCAGCAGCCGCGGUAAUACGGAGGAUCCGAGCGUUAUCCGGAUUUAUUGGGUUUAAAGGGAGCGUAGAUGGAUGUUUAAGUCAGUUGUGAAAGUUUGCGGCUCAACCGUAAAAUUGCAGUUGAUACUGGAUAUCUUGAGUGCAGUUGAGGCAGGCGGAAUUCGUGGUGUAGCGGUGAAAUGCUUAGAUAUCACGAAGAACUCCGAUUGCGAAGGCAGCCUGCUAAGCUGCAACUGACAUUGAGGCU
rnacentral:rRNA from 1 species